rnacentral:rRNA from 1 species
UAGCGUAUGUUAAAGUUGUUGCGGCUAAAAAGCUCGUAGUUGGAUUUCUGUUGAGGACGUCCGGUCCGCUCUACGAGCGUGUAUCUGGCUCGGCCUCGGCAUCCGCUCUGCAUACGUGACUGCGCUUGAUUGCGUGACACGGAGGUAGGGCCUUUUACUUUGAGGAAAUUAGAGUGUUCACGGCAGGCAAUCGCCUUGAAUAUAUUAGCAUGGAAUAAUAACAUAGGAUCUUGGUUCUAUUUUGUUGGUUUCUAGGGCUAAGAUAAUGAUUAAUAGGGACAAUUGGGGGCAUUCGUAUUGCGGUGUC